GUAUGAUGGAGCACUGGCUGGGGCAGGGAUGGACAGCGGUGUCGUUCUGCAGGUGCUGGUGGUGGGGGUGGACUGCAGGUAUAGGUGGUGUCACUGGGACUGACUUCCUCUGGGGAAGAGAACCAAGCAGGCCUGGCCCUGGAGCCUUCUGUGCCUUUUCAGCUAGGGGUGUGCACAGACAGCAAUGUGUCGUCUGAACUCCGUGUACACUUUGUCUACAAGUCCCAGAGAUCUUCUCUUAGAACGGUUAGAGAUACCUUAUGUGUUUUCCUUUAACUGCUGCCUGGUACUGCUUGUAUGGUGUUUGCUUGCUGGCUGGCUUAUCUGUCUUUGAAACAUGUUCUGAACGGUUCUGGGAUGGCCCAACACCUGAGAACCACUUUCCUGCUUAGAAGGCAUUUCCACAUUUAAUUCAGGUGACGGGUGGAUGAGUCAGUCCCAGGGCUGGUGGGGUUUCUGGUUGCAGGGCUAGGUUUUUCCCCACGGGGGCAGGGCGUGGGUUUCUGUUUCCCUGGGUCUGGAGUACCCAGUUCUGUCUCUCUGUUUCAGCUGCCAUGCAGUUCCUCACUGACAAGUUCCAGGACCUGUGAAGUUGGAGCCAGCAUCUUCCUACAAGAUGAGCAGCUGCUACCUUUGGAGCUCCGGAGCUGCAGCUAAGCGGGUUCCCUCCAUAUCCUGUUCAGCCAGGGCUUCCUCUCUUCUGCUGCAUUUGCCCCCUUCCCAACACAGUUCAAAGCAGUGUGAAAUAAAGUUGUUCUCAUAUUCUG
rnacentral:lncRNA from 1 species